rnacentral:rRNA from 1 species
GGAUUAGAUACCCUGGUAGUCCUAGCCGUAAACGAUGGACACUAAGUAGGCGAGGUUCCGAGACUUUGCCUGCCGGAGCUAAUGCAUUAAGUGUCCCGCCUGGGGAGUAUGCUCGCAAGGGUAAAACUCAAAGGAAUUGACGGGGGCUCACACAAGCGGUGGAGGAUGUGGUUUAAUUCGAAGCAACGCGAAGAACCUUACCGGGUCUUGACAUGCUUGGAUUAGCCUCCUGAAAGGGAGGUAACGCUCUUCGGAGUGGAACUUGCACAGGUGUUGCAUGGCUGUCGUCAGCUCGUGUUG